GCGCUCGGGAACGAGCUCAUAAAAAGCACGCGCAUUUUUAGCGGUCCGGAGCUGUAGGAGAAACACAAAUUAACUCAGAGACAGACUGAUGCGACAAAAUCAACAUGCCUGAUAAGGACAUGAGGAGGAAACAGUAGGAGCUGUGUGAGGCUACUAAAGGCAGUGGAUCCCUCAGCAGCUGGAUUACAAAGAGCACAGUAUCACAUCAGCACAGCCCUGCACUCCAGCACUAUCAGCAGCAGGAGCAGCAGAAACCCCUCAACAGCAACAAUGUACCCAUCAGAAACAACGGGUAGGAUGGUUUGUCAGGUAGGAUGGAUUCCCAGAACACCCGGCCUACUCUAUCACCCGUAUCAUGGAUUCCCGGCGCCGGGGGCGUGGCUACCAGUACCUGGUGGAUUGGGAAGGCUACGGCUUGGAGGAACAGUCUUGGAUCCCUUGGGCGGAUCACAUAUUAGGCCUCUGUUUGCCUCUGUGUACAGAUCUUUCCCUGCCUGCCUGUCAUCUCGUGGACGAGUGUGUGGAUUUGUGUAACCCAGUUGUGGAGAGAGAAGAGUGAUUCUUUGGAGCGCGUCUGAUCCCCUUCCUUUCUCUCACGGACCCCGGA